rnacentral:lncRNA from 1 species
UCUUGUCUUCUAUACUUGCACCAUGUGGCAUUUCCCUCUCAUGCAUCAUCCUGGAAGUUCACACAAGAUUAGAGCCAAAUAUAGGGAAUAACAAUGGCUUGGUUUUGUCACUAAGCUCUCCUUCUUAAUCCCAAAGCUCCUUAUCUUCACCAUUAAUAUCCCUCCUCAUCAUGAGGUUAAGGUUCAUGACCUCUCUUUAUUUGGUCCAAACAUCCUAAUGGGGAACUUUCAUCAUCAAUCCACAAGGUACACUAAAGUCCUCUUUAACUUCCGCUAAUUCCUCUUCACUUACAAGGUAUUCAUCCUCUUGAGGAUUUUACUCACCACCAUCUUCAUGGGUCACCUUAUCCCCAACAAAGUAAAUAUCACCUUCUAACAACACUAUGUUCCUUCGAUUGGGGCAUUCACUUACCUUAUGACCCCAACCUUGACAUUUAAAGCAAACAAUACCUUUAAAAUUGAGAGCAGAAGAUGGAUUACCGUUAUUCGUUGGUGGAUACCUUUGGAUUGCCUUCUCAAUGGGAUUCUUCUCUACAAACUUAUUGGAAUCCUUGAUCUUAUUCCAUCCGGAGGGUGUAGAAGAAUUGUAACUUCUAUUGAAGGACUUCUUUGCAUUAUUGUUCCUUUCAGCCUCAAUGGCUGCUUUAACAAUAUCUUCUAUUCAUUCAAACUUGUGGGCAACUAGUUAAGAAGAAAUAUCAUAAUCUAACCCGCCUUUGAAUCGAUCCACACAAUGAUUUGGGGGUUUGAAAAUCUCAAGACUAAGAAUUAAGUUUUAAAACUCCUCACAAUAGUCUUCCACACCUCUACCUCCUUGCCUCAAUUUAUAGAGCUUUGUUAGUUGAUCUUGUUCAAACCUUUCCAUUACAUACCUCUCUCCCAUGAGUGCCCUCAAUUCAUUCUAAUUCGAGAGGUUGGUAUUAAUCCUUGCACUCUUUAAUUCUCCCACCAAGUUGAAGAAUACCCUUUAAAUUGAGUAAUUACAUGAGAGGCUUUCUUGUGUCCAGUUAACUUAUUAAGUUGGAAAAUCUUAUUGCAUUGUACUUCCUAGUAAAGGUAGACCGAUGGAUCACUAGUUCCUUUGAAGGUAAGAAGAGUGAUCUUGAUUGAGUUAAAACCCAUGUCUCAGCCCAUAUUUCCUUCUUGAUCCCAUUAACGAUCCUCUUAAACUUGGGAAUGGUUUCCCAAGUUUCCUCUUCUAUAUGGAACUGGACCAAAUAUUUCUCCUCGUCCUCUAUGUCCUCCCCCUUGAUCUCAUCUUCUAGUUCAUACAAAUUCCAUAAAGAGAUCCACUUUACCUAACCUUACAUAAGGUUUCUUACUUCCCACAUCAUCUAUUUGGACUGGUUAAUUAUGGUUAGCCAAGAUUUGAGGUGGUUAGUUUUGUAUAAUGGGAUGGUUUUGUGGGUCUUCUUGAUUGACUUGAUUUAAUUAGGGUUGCAGUGGAUGAACGGGUUUUGAUUAUUUAGGUAAAUAGUACCUUGGAGAGGGGGAUCUUGUACUUUCCUCGGGGGAUUGUACAUUUGAUGAAGUAUUUUUGGAGUUAUAGUAGAGGAGGUGUUAUGAGCAUGGCCACUAGAUAAAGAAUAAGGUUUUUGAGGAGUUGAUGUGGUGGAAUCUAAAUGCCCUUCCACAUUAACUAUCCUUCCAUUCAAUCCCGAUAAUUCACUUCGCAUUUCAUUUACAUCUUGUUUCACACUCAUUAUGGCCGCCAUUAUAGCUUCUAUGUUUAUCUUACUCGAAGCUCUUGGGAUAUAUUCUCCCAAUGCCAUACCUAAAUAAAGUAAAUAAUAAAACUAAAACUAAAACAAAAAACAAGUUAAGGAUAGGAAAUCAACCUCACAAGCUCUCAAAGUUCACACAAUCGUGUUGUCUCUCAAUUGGUAUCGAAAGCGUUGAUAGAUCAUUUAUACUCCGAUGAGAAUUCUUUGUACUAAUUUUGGAUUGAGGUUGGAAUGGAUUAUUUUUUGAAAUGACUCAAAAAAAUAUAUACGGACUUGAGUCAAGAAGCUAUGACGAAUUAAAAACUAGAAAAGCUUAAAAGAAAAGAAACGUUGAAAGAAAUGGGACUCAAAAACUAGUCAAUCAACUUAGUAGAUAAAUUAAUUAUUUGUUGAGUAGUUUAUGAAUAAAAAGACUAUAUUAGGAAUCAAUAAAUUGAAACUAAAGAAUUAAAACUUGAACAAAAUGGAAUCCAAAAGCUUUAAAUGUGUUUGGAAGCCUGAUUUACGGUCAAUUGGGGUUGAUCUGCAUUGAGGAGUUCUUGCAGCGGGUGGGGUGCAUCCCCAAUGCACCUUGGAUGUAGAGGUGGACUUAGCUACUUCCUUGAGGUGUAGCCACAGGUCUGGAGCAAACCAGGCGCAACUACAGCGCAGGUCACCCACCCCUCUCUUGAAUGGGUGAUUUUUACCUUCUAGUGGUCCCUUUUUGUACUCUCUCUUGGAAUAUACUUUGGAAUUUUCUUAGAUGCACAAGUAAAAACACUUUUUCACUACUUUUCAUCCUUCUUUUUGUAUCAAACACCCUCUUUUGAUAAAAUUUCAGCUUGAAGAUUUGAAUUUCUCCAAGAACACUAACUUCUUCUCCCCAAGCUCGGAUGAGUUAAAAUUUUGAACGUAAGAACUUUUCAACGUUCUAAACUCAUUCCCAAUAUAGUUUUACCAAUUUUUCCAGAUUUUUCAACCCACUUCACUUUUCUUCAAGUUCAAGCUCUUAACAAUGGUAGCUCACUUAAUAUGACUUCGAUUAAGCUCAAAUUUGAAAACUAGACUCUAAUAGUGUUAGGGAACUCAAAUCUAACACUAGAAACACAAGAAAAACACAUAAUCAAAAACUCAUAAUUUGACCUAAGAAUAAAAUGUGAAUAGUAACUUCUUUUAAAUUUUCAAUUUUGACACUUUUUUUUGUUGAUUUUCAAGAUAACAAACCCAAAAUUGACUUUGCAGGAAUAAAAUCAAGCUCGGAUCUAAUACCAAAUGAUAAUGAAACAAAUGAUGGAAUUGAAACUAAGUAAAGAAAUGAAGAAAACAAAGAUAAAGAUAGAUAGAUAGAUAGAUAAAGCAAUAAGAUAGACACAAGAAGGAAAUGGAUAACAAACAAAGGGUAUAUCAAACCCUUAAUCCUCUAUUGAAUAUCCGAUCAAGCACCUAAAUCUUACAUAGAUCUCAAGGGAAUUAGAUUCCCAAGAAACCCACACUUCUAAACGGAAGAUUAACACAAGUGAUUCUGCGCUUGCCUCGCACUCUCACAAGAGUAUUGUCAUGAUCUAAACCAGGGUCUGUCCAUGACGGGUAUCUCAAUUCCAGUAAAGACAGGAGACAACCCCCUUUGCCUAGCCAAACAGAACAAAACACAUAUAGCAGCGGAUGUAUUUCAAACAUAUAGUAAGAUAGAAUAAAUGUAAUCUCAAAGGAGUCUAAGAAUAUCAACAACAAUACCCAGUUUGCAAUAAUCCACAAAGUCUCUAUGACAAAACCUAAUAGAAUCUAAGUCGAUACAUGCCUUCGACGAUAGCCAAAGAAACCAUAUGAAUAGUUUAUGACAUAAGAGAAUAGAAAAAUAAUGAAAUAAAGCUCUUCCAGAGAAUGGAAGCUCACCACUCCAAGCUAACUCCUGACACCCUAAAAUCCUAUCACUGUGUAGAAAAGUAGAAGUAUUAAUGUUGCCUGCAUCACAUGGGGAUAUAGUAUCUGAUAAUGAUGAGCGGGUUGAGUGCUAGCAUGUAACACAGGGCAAGGAUAAAAUAAUGUCAGUUAAAAGUUAAAUUUCAAACUCACUAUACAUGUUCAUAUGCAUAUGUAUAUAUAGUAGAUGUUGGGGUAGGGAACAAGGUUUAGCAUGAUAGUAAAACAUUAUCUAGGACUAUGUAGCUAAGCUGUCAUAAACAGGCACCCACGGGCUAUAUGGGUUCAGCUUUCCCUGCUAAAAGAGCCCCAGUGUGUGUUAACCGCAUGAACCAGAGGCAUCAAGGAAGACCAAAAAAUGCCCCGAGCCCACGUCAACCUAGAUACAAAAUGUAUCAAUAGUGUGAACCAUACACACGGUCAUCUAGACCAACCCUCAAGUCGGUAAAUGUGAGUUUCCAGUAUAAGUCAUUCAAGACUCACACCUUCACCUCUUAGCUACAUAACACCCAUUAAUCCCAAUUAAAACAACUUUCACAUAACCCAUUCAUUAACCAAGGAAUCAUAUAUUAAGGCACACCAUGGUAUUGUCAUACCUAUUUAGCUUGCAAGCUUAUACUUAUGCCAUUACAAUUCCAUUAACUUGAGGGAAUGCCUCGACACCCUUUGUUCAUUAUAUCAAGUUGGAGGAAUGCCUCAACCUCCUUUAGUUUAUCAAAAUAAAACAUAGCCAACAAGGCUUCAAAAUCUAUUUUUAUUGUUUAAUCAUUUAUGUAAUGCUAUAGUAUAGGUUAGUAAAUCAAACUAAGUGACAAUUCCAUAAUUCAAAGCCAUUUACACAAGUGGGUUCAGGGAAUACAAUUAUUCAAAAUUAAUUUCCAAGUUCAAAACAUCAAUUUGAGGGAUUUUAUCGACCCUCAUUUUAAUUCCCCCGCCCAUGCACCCUAUUAGUUCAAAAACAUCCACUUCAAAGCAUGAACAACUCAUGAAAACCAUGGGAAAAUAAUUCAAGGAUCAACCAUUUCAAAACCAUCAACCCGUGUUAAAACUCACAUUAAAAUCCAUACAAUUAAACCAUUUAAAAUACGUUCUUUUCACAAAAUAAGAUUUGGAGAAGAGUAACAUGCUUGAGAUAUUACGAUUUACGAAAAGAAAUUAACCCUUGGAAGUUCUAGAGACCAAUUUCUUAAAACCCUAGCUUAUUCAUGCCUUAGGGAUUUAAGAGAGUUUAGGAGAGUGUUGAUGACUGGUAGGUAUUGAAAAUAAUGCCCAAAGGUGAUUUAUGGUUGUAGGAUCUAAGUAGGGGAAAAGGGAAAUGACCAGAAUGUCUUUAAUAAAUAGACUAAAAAUUAACCACACAAUCGCUACGGGUCACAUGAUGACUCAUAAUGACUGGAUAUGAGUCAUUUCUUAGACUCAGAGUUUGGUCAGUAUCAUAGGUAUGCACACUGGUCUGACUAUGAUUCGUACCUUAUAACUCAUACUCAGACCUUAUGACUCGUAUGGUCUAGUUGUUGUAUUGGAAGAAACAUUUAGGCAUCCUUACUGGUUAGGCUACGAAAACCGCUAUAUGACUUGUAAUGGGUCUUGACAACUCAUUGGGUGAUAAUCAUGACCAAUACAAAGACUUUUCCAAACACACUGGUCAGGCUACGAUUACAGUCCUACAACUCAUAUGAUAAGUCUUAGUCUGGGCAGUGAGCUCAGAGGUUAAAAAAAUUUUAAGGGCCAAAAUCUGGGGUGUAAGUAUACAUUCAUAAUUUAUCAAAGUCUAACAACUAAAUGGAAGAAAAGACAUAUUUAUAGUCUAGGGUUAAUUAUUACAUCAUAUGGGCCAAAAAAUUAUCCAUUUGGGAAAGACAAAGCAUAGAAGCCCAUUAAGAAUUCCCUUAGGCAAUCCAAGCACACAUGGGAUGCAUCUUCAAGUCAUGUGAGUUAUUUUUGACCCACUCUAGCAGAUCUAGAGUCGGUUGGGCACACCUACAAAGCAGAUGGGGUGCAUUCUCCUUUCGGGGGCUUUCUAGCCUCAUUUUGCCUUUCUUUGGCCUCUUUAAUAUCUCUCGUUCCUCCUCAAUCAUCAUAAUAAUUCAAUUAGCACCUUUUGGAUAGAACCAAUGAGCCUUCAAGUGCCUCUUGAACUAUAAGCCUCUUCUCUAAUAAUCUGGAGGCCAUUUGGAUUGUAUUACAAUACAAGUUAUGGCAUGGAUUUUAUUUCCUGAUCUUUUACCUACUUUUUUUGUGAUGAAUCACUUUUUUCAUUAGAAGAAACUAUGGGAAAAACCAUCCAUCUUGAUAUGUCCACUAUUAACAAGGCCCGACCUAGUUGUGCGAGGGUGAAAGUCCAAAUUGAUUUAGCAACUAAGUUACCUGAUAAAGUGGAGAUAGAAGUGAAUAAAACAAAAGAAGCAAGGAUUCAAUCAGUCAAAACUCGAUAUGAUAUGCUUCCUAAAUAUUGUUUCAAGUGUAAAGUUCAAUGUCAUGAGAAGGUGGAGUAUAGAAUUUUACAUUCAGAAUUGAAAAAUUAUGUGCAAAAAAGACAUAAAUAGGAAGUUAGUUUUUGCUAAAUGGAAUCCUACAAGUCAAAAAUUUCAAAUUGAAAAAGGAACCAACAAAUUUCUAGAUAAUGUUGUAGACAUGAAAAAUGAGGAAAAGGUGUUACAGGCCAAUAAAACAAUCAGUACUAAGAACUCAUUUGGCAUCCUUCAACAACAAGAUGAAGGCAGUUAACUUACUCAAGCUACGGGAACAAUGACCUCAAUGGUGGAGGGAAAGGAAAAUAUGAAGAAGAAGAAAAAUAAUGUAAAAGAAAAGCUGAGUAACAUGCAAAAUAUAGAUCAACAUAAAUCUGUUUAGUAGAAAUAAAAUAGGAAAAAUAUAUAUUCCAUGAGUUAAUAUGGAUAAUCAGGUGGAGGGAUGUAUUACAACUGACAAGGACAACAUCAAUGAGACUAGCAACAAUAGUUGUUCAAUGGGAACUGCAGAACCUAUUCAUGAUAAAUAUAUGAUAUUAAAUGUAGUGGAUCACAAAGAUACUCAACAACUUACAUGUACCAACAAAAAUCUAAGGAAAAGAGGCAGAAGUAUAUUGCUAGAACAGGGGAAUGUAGGUGUAAAUCAAAAUAAAUUACAUAGUAGUGGAAAAUACAUAGAAGACAUUCAUAGAAACAAAGAAAGUCCACAAAUGCAAAAAAAAAAACAUGUUGAUUAUUGAUAGUCACAGUGCAAGAGGAGGUGAUAUUGUGAAUAAUGAUAUACCUGAUGACAUACAUUCAAAUAGGGUUCAAUUAGCCCUUGCUCAAGCUACAUAAAAUGAGGCACUUUAGGUGGAUGAAUCAGGUGUUAGAGGUGAUGAGGGAUUUCUUCCAAAUAGCAUAGAAGGGGAGGCAAGUAAUCUGGCAUUAGCAGCAUUGAAAAAAUCAAACAACAAAAAAUUACAUAAUUUGGUUUCCCACCAAAUAACAAAAGAGGUAAAUCAUGAAAGUACAGAUACAGAUGACAUAUGGAUAAAAGAUACAGAAGAAGGAAAUAAUCAAAAAAAACUAAACCAAGUAAUGAAAGAAGCAGGUUUAUCACCACGUGCAAAUAACAAAGGUAAAAAGAGUAGGAUCAAAGUUGAAAAGCCUACAAGGACCAGUUCUAGGAGGGGUGGUAAAGCCAGCAUUCAAUGAAUUUAAAAGCACUUUUCUGGAACAUCAGAUUAGUUAGGUCACAACAUGUUUUCCACAUAGUACAAAUGUUACAUAGGCAUCAUAUUACUUUUAUUGCUUUGAUGGAGUCUUUUCAAGAUAUCAGACACAUAUAGAGGUAUAAAAGAAUAUUGGGCAUGAAAUAUACAAAUUAUAAUAUGAAUGUAAAGAUAUGGAUUUUUGUUUAAAAAAAUAUACAGGUGGAGACAUUAGCAUAUUCUGAUCAGCAAAUCACAUUUUAGCUAGUUGUUCAGAAUGAUCAAUAGGUGAUUAUUAUAGCUGUUUAUGCUAAAUGUGAUGUAAGUGAAAGAAUUGCUUUAUGGGAUCUAUUUACUCAUUGAGUCAUAAUGUUAGAGUAUCUUGGAUGGUAAGGGGACUUUAAUGUUAUCAUGAAUGAAGAAGAGAAAAUUGGAGGAUUACCAAUGUAUCCUAAUGUAUAUGAACAUUUUGCUUUCUACAUCAACCCCUGUGAUCUAUUUGAUAUUAAUUUAAAAGGGAGUCCAUUCACUUAGUGGAAUGGUAGGGCAGAUGAUCCAUGUAUUUUUAAGAGAUUAGACAUAAUCGUUAUUAACUAAGAGUUUUUGGGCAUUAUGGGGCGUAUUGAGGUUGAACAUCUAUCCAGGACACGAUCAGAUCAUGCUCCUUUGUUAUUCUCUUGUAGUGAUGAAAAUGUUCAGUUUCACAAGCCUUUUAGGUUUUUGAAAUUUUGGACUGAGAAAGAGGACUUCAAAGAAAUGGUAAGAUAGAAUUAGGUAUCAAAAAAAUGUAGGCAUAUCUUUAUCAAUUUAAAGCAAAAAAUGAAGAAAACCAAAAUGGCUCUAGCUUUAUGGAGCAGAUUCAUGUUUGGAGAUAUAUUUAAAUAAUUAGUCAUCAAGAAAUACAUAGUAAGAAUCAAAAAUGAUUUGUUUGAAGAAAGUCCUACUACUACUAACAAAAUAAUUUUUCAGAAGGCACAGGCUGAGUUGAGGUAGUGUUUACAUUAUGAAGAAGAGUAUUGGAGAUAAAAAUCUGGUAUUCAAUGAUUUUCAGAAGAGAAGGAAAUAUGAAAUUCUUUCUGGUGAAUGCUAGAAGGAAAAAGCUAGAAAUAACUAGAAUUUAGAGAGUUGAUGGUUCUUGGGUUGAAGAUAAUAAUUAGGUAGCUGUAGAAAUAAUUGAUUUCUACCAGAAAUAAUUCACUGGAUCAGUUGAGUCUGGUGCAUAUUCUUUUAUUAAUUUGAUUUCUACCCUAAUCACAAAAUAAGAGAAUAAUUUGUUGAAGGUUUGUCCUGACACUGAAGAAGUUAAAAAGGUAGUUUCUAAACUGAAUGGGGAUAACGCUUGUGAGCCAGAUGGUUUCACUGGACAUUUUCAUCAGUUUUGAUGGGACAUUGUUAGUGGUAAUAUUGUGAAGGUAGUUCAUGUAUUUUUUAUGUAAUGACACUGCCUAAAUCUAUCACUCAUACUAAUUUGGUUCUAUUGCCAAAUAAAGAGAAGGUCAAGAGAGAAGGUCUUGACCUUCUUUGACUUAAGACCUAUUAGUUUGAGUAAUUUUCCAAACAAAAUCAUAUUUAGAAUUCUUCAUGAUAAAUUAUAAGGUUUCUUACCUAGGCUCUCUCAAAAUCAAUCUGAUUUUGUUAAGGGAAAAAUUAUCACAGAUAAUGUAUUAUUGGCCAAGAAAAUUAUAUGCGAUAUUAAAAAAGGGAGUAAGGCUGCAAAUAUGGUAAUUAAGCUUGAUAUGACCAAAGUCUACGAUAGAGUGGAGUGAAAUUUUUUUAUGGAAAUGUUGGAGAAAAUGGGCUUCUCAAAUGUCUUUACUGAUAUGAUAUGGAGACUAGUAGCCAAAAAUUGGUACUCUAUCCUAAUAAAUAGGGAAGUUCAUGUCUUCUUCCAUUCUUCUAGAAGAGUAACGCAAUGGGGUCCUUUAUCCCCUUCUUUAUUUAUUAUUAUUGCUGAAGUUAUAACAGGGCACUUAAUAAUUUAUUCUCAUAUGAUGAUUUCAGGAGUUAUGGACUGACUAAAUAGAGUGAUCAAAUAAAUCAUCUUGCUUAUAUUGAUAAUACAAUAAUAUUUUUUUUGCUGACAGGUUUUCAUUGUAAUUAAUUAUGCAGAUCUUAAGAGAAUAUGAAAACCAAUCGUGUCAACAGGGAAAAGAGUGCCUUUUAUGUACAUAACAAGGUUACUCAUGCACAUGUUUAAUUGGUGGAGCAUUGUACUGGCUUUUCCAAGAGGUAAAUUUCCAUUGACAUAUCUGGUUGUGCUAUUGGACAUGCUAGGAAAAGAAAGAUUAAUUUUUUAGAGCUAUUAAAGAAGGUACAAAAUAAACUUCAGUUAUGGAAAGGCAAACUAUUAUCAUUUGGAGGUAAAGUUGUGUUGAUUAAUAAUGAUUUGCAGAGUAUCCUCAUUUAUCAAUUAUUCGAUCUUAUACCUCCAAAAUGUGUGAUUCAUGAUCUUUAUAGAUUUUUUGCUAAAUUUCUAUGGAACUUUAGAAAAAGAGGGAGGAGUAAACACUAGGUCUCUUGGACUAAUAUAUGUCUACCAAAAAAGGAAAGUGGUAUUGAUUUUAGAUCUUUUUUUUAUGUGUCUAAAUCCUUAUUUUCAAAGCUAUGGUGGUAUUUUAGAAUACAAAAAAAUAAUGUGGACUAAUUUUAUGAGAACAAGUACUGUAAAAGGCAUAGACCACAAGUAGUUGAAUGGAAAGGUGGUUCUCAAGUUUGGAAGUUUAUGUUACAGGCUCGAGAUUAUUUUGACCAAGAAAUAUGGUGGAAAUAUAAGUGUGGACAUGUUAGUAUUUGGUCAGAUAAUUGGACUCAAAAGGGAGCUUUACACUAUUAUCUCCCAUUAAACUAUAAUAAUAAUGGAUGAUUGGAAGAUGUGCAUCAAUUAAUGAAUCAUGAUGGGUGGAAUAGGGAUCUACUUAAGGAAAUUUUUUCUGAAGAUAGAUGCAAUCAUGUACUUAAUAAGAUUGGGACAAUAGGAUAUUUUAAUGCUUGGGAUAAUCCAUGGUGGAUGCCACAAGGUUCUAGAAAAUUUACAAUUAAAAGUGGUUGGACUAUCAUAAGACAGUCUGGGAAUGUCAAUGAGGAUUUAAGGUUUAUAUGGGAAAAGGGUAUACCUUUCAAAGUAUCUUUCUUCUUCUUGAGUUAUGAAAGAAAAUAUUACCUACAGGUGACUUUCUAGUCAGUACAUGAUGGGAAGAAAUGACUAAUUGUGUUUGUUGUGAGUUACCAGUUCAUGAAUCCUAUGAACAUCUCUUUGUUCAGUGUUCUGCAGCUAAUAAUUUGUGGAUAGUUUUUGCAUCAAUAUUGAAGUGUAGGGCCCUUUUCUUCAUUUAAAAUAUGUUAUCUACAAGUGGUGGAAUGCUAAUUAUUGUGCUAAACUUAGGCCCCUAUUUAUUGUUAUUCCUGUUUUCAUACUGUGGAAAAUAUGGAAAGAAGAAACAUCAUCAAACAUGAAGGUAGGAUGUCAAUUCAUGGCAUACAAUAGGAAAUAAAUUGGAAUCUGUAUUUGUUUGCUAAGAUAAGAUAUCCUUGGCUUAAUAAUAUCCCUAGUAACUGGCCUAUGAUGGUUAUGUUCUUGGAAGUUUAUAAACCUAAUAUCCAGGCUACUGUGGUCAAGUGGAAGCCUCCUAUCAAUGGUUUUUAUAAGUGCAAUAUUGAUGGUGCCUCUAAAGAUAACCCUUGUCCUAGUGGUGGUGCUUUCUGUAUUAGAGACAGUAAAGGGAAAUUUAUUUUUGCUAAGUCAUUCUCUUUUGAUAUCUUAACUAACUUAGAGAAAGAAUUUGUUUCCUUUAAGAAGGGUUUAGAGUAACGUGUGAGUCAAAAGUUGUUAACAGUUACUAUGAAAUAGAUUCUCUCAUUCUUAAGAAAAUCCUAGAUGGAAUCUGGGAGAUUUCCUGGAAGGUUUCUAUAUAUAUCAAAAGAAUUCAAUGGUUGAAGAGGCAAUGUCAGGUGGAGGUGUUGCAUACGCUAAGGGAAGGGAACAAACUGGUGAAUUUUUUAGCUAAUGAAGUUUUCUUUUUAGCAGGUACGCAAAAUAUAAUACACAUUGCUACAGGAUAUUGCAGAUGAAGGAAAAAUAAUUAUAAAAAUGGACAAGCAUUAAAUCCCAUCACUGAAGUUUGUCAAAUAACAUUUUUUUCUAUAUAAAAGGCAGUCAUAUUAAAUAACAUACCAGAUCUGAGAUAGCAAAUAACAAGAAAUGCAAAGGUCAAGGCACAUACAGAGGGGGAAUUGAUCCAAAUAGAGGUACAUAUAGCUAUAUUAACAUUGAUUGUCGAGCAAUAAAGUACAAGUACAUAUGUACAUUUUAGACUAGUGCAUGCGACAUGGGUAAAAUACUAAGCUUCAGAAAAGAGGGUUUUGUACCUUUUUCAUGCUUACUCAAAUCAUCUAAGUUAAUGUCCUUUGUCAGUGGUAUCAGCUUCUUGUUGAGCUCAACCUGUCAAGGGUAUGAUUUAGAUAAUCCAAUUUAAACAUUAGAUUAGGUAAUGGAGGAUUUUGGGAAAGAUUUACGUUUACCUGAGGAUCAAAUGUCUCAAUUUGUUCUAAGGGGAGUUGAUGAAGUCUUCCUAUAAUCCGAUUUCAUGGCAUUUGUGAGACAAUUAUAAAUGUCUAAAAUGAAAUUCAUAACUUCACUAAUGGACAGAUUUGAGCUAAAUACAUGGUGUUGGCUUAAGCUUUCCCUUUUAAUCCGUCAGUGAGGCAGUUUCAGCUUUAUAAUCCGUGUGGGGAAGAUGAAAAUGCAUAAGAAUUUUUCUAGAUACUUAUCAUACUUUUUUAUAUGACAUUCAUAGUUGCAACAACUACAGGGGCAUUAAGUUGUUGAGUCACACUAUGAAGAUUUGGGAGAAAGUGGUUGAGCGGAGGUUGAGGAGGAGUGUGUCUAUUUCGGAGAAUCAGUUUGGAUUUAUGCACUGCCGCUCGACGGAGGAGGAAAUUUACCUGGUGUGGAGACUAAUGGAGACGUAUAGGGAGUGAAAGACGGACCUCCACAUGGUUUUC